GUGCCAGCAGUCGCGGUUAUACAUAUAGGGCUAGUAUUAUACAUUUACGGUUUUAAGGGUACGCAGUAUGGUAUAGUAUAUAUUCUAGAGUACUAUAUAAUAUGGUAGUGUAAGAGUAUGAGAAAGUGUUAUAUCUGUAUAUACAUACUAGAAUACCAGUAUAUGAAAGUAGCUACCAUAUAUAGUACUGACAUUUAGGUACGAAAUUUACAGUAGCGAAAUGGGGUUGUCAGCCAUAUAGUUGUAGACGUAAACUAUGUAUGCUAAUAUUAUAACAUAUAUAUUUUUAUAUAGUAUUUUAUAAUAUAUAGUGAAAACGGUAAGCAUACCACCUUAGGAGUACUAUUACAUAUAGAAACUGAAAACAAUAGGCGGUCUAGAUUACUAACAGUGGUAUAUGUUAUUUAAU
rnacentral:rRNA from 1 species